rnacentral:tRNA from 1 species
GCUAUUGUAGCUUAGCUAAAGCGCAGCACUGAAAAUGCUGAGACGGGAUUAUUGACAACCCCAAAAGCA